rnacentral:lncRNA from 1 species
AUGGACAUUUUUAUACAGACAUGAGACCUACAUGGUACUGAAAUAUCUGUAGGAUCUGGAAUGCUGGGUUAGCAAUUUAAAAGAAAUACUUGAACUUUUCUCUUUCGGACCAAGGAUUAAUAUUGUUAUUCCUGGAAGUACUGGAAUUCCAAAGUGGAUAAGGCACCAGAAAAAGGGAAUAAGGGUGACCAUAGAUCAG